rnacentral:lncRNA from 1 species
CAUUCUUGUUGAGGCAGAGAACUGACUUGGACAUCGGAGGGUCUUGCCGGAGUAACCCCACCUCCGGUUUAGACUUCUUUUGCAGGUCUCGAUGGUGACCGUGACUCCAGCUUCUCCGACGUAAGCGAAUUUUUGCACCAACAGGAUUGGCGCUAGAGGAAGGGCCUGUGUCUUCACAGUACCCUUGUUCUUAAAGGGGCGCUCAACGGGACUGCCCCCGGGCAUCUUUUCCGACGUCCUCUCCUCCCUCCUUUACUUGGUCUUUGCCCGAUGCCUCCCCGCAAGGCGUCCACACGACGAUCCAUGGCCUCCGCGGCUAGAUCUCAGGCUCCAGCCUCACCUCCAGUUUCCCAACUUCCUCCUCCUCCUCCGGCGACGGCAGUCGGCGCGGAGUAAUUUGAUCUGCUGGCGGAGUAGGUCAGAGGCCUCACUGAGGCCAUGCAGCAGCAGCAGCAGCUGCAAGCAUC